UCUUAAAAAAAAUAAAAACAAGCAAUAUCAAAUUAAAAUAAAGUUAACAUUUUACUAUUUAGAAAAUAGGUAAACUAUAAGAUAGGUUUUAAAAUAGUUAUUUUUAUUUUAAUCAUUUUAAUUCUUUUUGUAAAUUUUGUUAUUACUAUUACAGAAGUAUAGCCACUCAAUUAUUAAACAUUGCUGAUUGGACUUGCCACAUCAGCCUUUCCUUUUCCACAUUUUGAACCAAUCAUAACAUUUGUUUUCCUUUCCCUUCAUUAUCUUCUACCCAGCCCUCACGCUUCCCAGCCCCUGAGGCUCACUCCGUCUCCCAGCUCAAGCCGCACCAUAACAACCACCGUUACUCCUCUGCACACCACACCACCGACCCAACCUCCACCGGUGCCAAGCACCACCAUUCGCGCACCCCGCCUAGCCCACAACAACUCGCAAACCAGGACCAGUCCAACUCCGCCCAACCCUAAAACUGUGCCGGCCUGUCCUGCUCCUCUGCCCAUCAUUGGAUGAACCUAGCCUAACCCACUAUAGCAGCAACCCGACCCUCAAUGUCUCUCUCUCGCACAAGUUGAAUGGCAACUUUGAUUCUAUCUUAUUCCUUGUUCUUCAUAACAAGCCGAGAAACGCCGAGUUUUGUUUUCAAAGCUUAACCAAUGACAUGUUACUUGUGGAAUAAAAAUAUACUGUUCCAAAAGCAGAGGAUAAGGUUGGGUAAGGUAGCAGAAAAGUGCUGAAGCUCUGAAAAAGAGAGAUUGAUCUCUAUUUCCCUUGGCAUGUGCUUUUGAGGUCCCAUC
rnacentral:lncRNA from 1 species